rnacentral:sRNA from 20 species
CGGAAGUGCCUUUCUGACCGUGGGCUGAUCGAAGUGUGGUAACUCCAAUCAUCCCAGCUCAAAGGGCACUUUCCUUAUAUCAACACCCUCCGACCAGGCGAUUCAUCGGUGGAUCGAG